UCCAUCGCGUGUGGAUUUUCAACACGUUUUCAUUUGCUCGAACAAUCAACUCACGCCACCGCACCGCUUCAUUGUAGAAAACAAAUCAUCAAGUAUAAUAGAGAUUCGGCAUUCCACGAUUUUGUAAUUUCAUUUUCUUCACAGAUGUAAGGUAUGUGCCUAUGGGAAAGUUAGUUCGGCGUUUGCUUAUGUAUUGAUUAGCUGUAAUAUGGAAUGGUUUGCUUUUAUUUACGAUAUUCUGAUGGCUGCCUACACGCUACUUGUUGAAUUUUAAUCAUCUCAUGUAUUUCACAAUCGCUUUACAAGUCGAUGAUCGUGAUGCGAAAUUUGGAAAACGAAUUUUUGUCGAUGGAUGAUGGAUGUAGAAAACGAAUAUAAACAAAUAGUAGAUUAUGCAACUAGGGAGAUAAUGUGAUUUUCAACAAAUUUUGAGGUUUAUUUCCCGAGUGAAGCGAGGGAAGUAACUCAAAAUGGUUGAAGAUCACAUUAUCUCCCUUGUUCUAUAAAAUAUUUUACGUUUUUAAGGGAGAAAAUCGCUAGUUUGUCCACCGAGCGAUUAGCGAGCGGGAGAUAAUGUAGCGGAUUAUCUCCCUAGAAACGUAAAUGAAAAUUUCGCCACGCAGGUAUUUCACAAUUUUUUUAACAGCUGGAUCAGACGAAUGCGUUGGAUCUCUCCUUCCAUGUCUGCUCAUUUUAUCACCGAUGAAUGGAGAAUGAAUUCGCGUAAAUUUUUGUUUACGAUAUUGAAAACUACAAUGAAGAGAUAUAACUCGAAGCUUUUGCUGGAAAUGUUUAUGGAAUAAGAAAGUGCAAGUUGAAGUCAACAACGAUUCGAUGCGUAAAGAAUUGAAGCAUAUAGGUACCUCAAAAUCGAGAUUCUGAAUAAGGAAACGUUUACCGAAAAUCCAAAGAUCCUAUCAGCUAUUCGGAGUGUCGGAGCAGACUCCCUAAAAUUCUUUUUUUCUUCGUCGAAAUAACUCGAAUUACAUCGCAUGGGAACCUUGGAGAUCGUUCGACUCGAUAUCUACUUACACUGGAGGAAAGAUGAAUAAUGAAAAUUUUUAAAAUUAUUCUAGUCUAUUAGUCGCAUCGUUGCUCGUCGUCAUGCGGCGGUAUGGUAACCGCUGAAAAAGAAGGAAAAAAAUAAGACGCGUCGAAGACCGAACUCUAUUUAUACUACUUGAAAAACUUUCCGAAGAGAUUGGUUGAUUAAGGCUUGAUGGAGAUGAUGCUCGUAUGAUAUUGUCAGAGAAAAAGACCUGUCCUCGUACCUACGGGGCGAAGUUGUUUCUAACUAUUUAUCUUAAUCUGACGAUUAUAGGAUACUAUAGGCUAUAUAGGUACGAGACGACGAUGGUGGCAGUAUUGGUGAAACGAAAGAGGGGAACCAAAAGGUAAUUAUAUUAUUGAAGUGUACGGAAAUUAUCCUGCGGCUGUUUUUUACGAAGAACAGUUCAGUUCCUAUAACAACAGGGCAACGGAAUCUCGAAAUAUUUCAGUUUUUAGAAAACAGCUCAAUCUAUAAACCGCACAGAUAGCUUUUAGGUUAUAAUCCGGUAGGUUGUUCUGUUCGGACGUACGCCCUGGUUACAGUUACGUUAUAAUUGGUUACCGGUGAAAAAGAAGGUGGAGCUUCGAGGUUAUUUUGUUACGAGUUACCGCUCGAAGACGGUGAAAGAUGGAAACCAAUUCUGCUGUGUCGGCUUGUUUACAUUUAAUUCAGUGUCGCCAACUGAUUUCGUUUACAACGCGGAGACUUCAGCGUAAACUUGCUUGCGAAAGAGACGAAGAGAAGGGUCGUUUAGCAUUACAUGUGCGUCUCAUGGCGAAUUCGUCGUCGAUGUUGAUGUUUCGAAAUUACCUGUCAAUGAAAGAAGCUUGGUUGGAUGAUUUUUUGACGGAAUUGAUUAAAUUGCGUAUACUCUAAUCAAGUAUUUUGACCUACGUACGAAGUGAACGACGCUAGGAAAAUAUAUAAGCACCUAGACCUACCUCGAUAGGUGUAUUAUGAAGAAAUACGGCGCCCUUACUGCGUAACAACGUUUAAUUAUUUACAUAGAUAUCACAAAAAUUCUUGGGUACGAUACCGUGCCGUGCCUUUGCCAUGUUCAAAUUAACCCUCCUCGAAGCCGGCGUAAAAAUAUUCAACAAUCGAGCCUUUUCAAAUAUGAUCGCGGCCGCUGUGCCCGCGCCUUUCAGCGUCUUGUAGCUCCUACCGCGCCAAUAAUACUGUGUACAAGCCCGACUGCCAAUGCCAUGGAUUGGAUUGGAUAUACUCGUACGUGCGCUCUCAUUAUACGAUCUAUUCAUCGUACAUGCGUCUGUUACAUUACACCAAUGUAUAGAGUUGACAAGUCAUCGUGCUCAAAAUGUAGGUACAAAACCAUAGCUACUGUCAUAGUUGGCGUUAGCUGUUUUUCCUGUACCUGCAGGCUGCAACAAGAGACCCAGUCGGCUUGUUGAAAUUCUACCUUUAUCUUAUUAAAUUCGAUUUUCUGGAGUGGAUCAGCCUGAUAGGAGUAGAAACGGUCUUUCAAAUGUCACGUUAUUUUUAUUCUGCGAAUCAAAAAAAUCUAAUAUGAGAUAACGUGUCGAUAAGCGUUUAUGAAGAAAAAAUGAAUACCUAUAUACCUAGUUACCUACGAAUAAAAAUGAACUAUAGGAAUGACUUCGAAGAACUAAAUAUGGCGUCCUAAACCUAAAGAAGUUCAUCAUGAUAGGUUCAAAGUUUUUCUUCCUGGCGAGGGAUGUCGAUUUGAAAAAAGUAUCGGAAGCUCAAUUCUCCCCUCGAAGUAAACGUUCCUCAGUGUGUAAAAUGUUAAAGAACCCAGCUAUGAAGCCAUGUUUAAAGAAGCUUGAUUGCUACGUAGAUUCUCUUGCAGAAGGUGCAUUAAAGUUUGUAUACUGUACUUCUACUCGCGCAUGAGGAAGUAAUGGAAUCCCGACAGUUCUCGAAGAAUGCUUUCGCGACGACGUUUUAAUCAAACCAUGAAGGUAUACGCUUUGUUUUGCUCAUCAUCACCGGUGAUCAUCGAAGCUGAUGUAGCUGAGCCAGCUAAAAAUCGCACAACUUCAUGCCAGCUUGAUUGGCUAUUGGGAAUAGAUGUCGUAUAGUAUUGAUUGGAGAUCCCUGAGAGCUUGGUGUGAAAUGUACCAUGACGGGAAUACCCUGUAUCGCUGUGUAUUCUUGCUGUAUUCUCUCAAACGGCGACGAUUUCGUGACAUGACGUGUGCGAAACCUUGACAUAACCUCAAGCUAUGUGAAAAUCGCGUUUAGCUACUAAUUUUUAAAAACUUACGGCACCAAUUACCUACGCAGGUACCUAAUCAUCGAUAUUGUUUUAUGCAAAAUGAACAUGUAUACUGUAUAGAGGCUACACAGCGAGUUGAAUGGUAUCAUUGCAACGCAUACCAAAUUGUUCCCCUUCAACACUAUACAGUCAAGUCAACUAAGUAUAUCUACGUAUUACACUCGCCUUCGCCCUUCUACCAGUUCUACCGGGAAACAUUAUAAGCCGUGUUAAUGUAACCCAACCCGAACACUUUUCUAAUUUAUUAAAACAUAACAACCGUGAAUUUUCAAAAGAAUUUCCAACCUCUAGUUUAAAAUGGGACCCGACUUAAUAAUUGAAUUUGUACCAGAAGUAACACGCACACUGAAUAGGCAAAUCCGAGCUAAUAAUUUUCAUCGUUAAUGUUAC